UUGAUUUGGAGUUUGCCCCCCCCCCCCCAUUUUAGUCAUCCUAAGGUUUAAAUUGAGGGGGCAGCCAUGUUGUCCCUCCUUUUAAAGGGUUUGAAUUGAGGUAAAAGCCCCCUCUUGCCAUCAUUUGAAGGAUUUCAUUUGCGGAAAACCCCUUUUUUCUGCUAUUAUAGGCUGUUAUAGAUACAAAUUAUAAUAUUGGCUUUUCAGAAAUAUUAAAAUGGAUUUUAUAUGCAUGAUGUUAAAGUAAUUUUGCUAUAAAGAUAUAGUUUGUAUUUCUGCUGUUAAUUAAGCUUAGACAUAAUAGUGAAAUAGCUAUGCUUGUGUUAAAAUGCCUGCUUGGGUGGGAUAACACCCAAUGAACACAGGAUGAGGACACCUGCUACAGCUAUGCCAACUAACAGCACGCACCGAGAAGGAGCCGAAACCACAGCCAAGAAACACAUAUGCUCUAAUAAAGGCAGACCUGAGGAGGGGCCAUGUAAAAUAGUUCCUGGAAAAUAUAAACUACUUUAUGGAUAUGCAUAAGGACUAUUAAUAUGCAACAGGCUGAUGUAAGGGUAAAGGUAGUUGAGGGUAUCCCCAAAGGUAAGUGUGGUCUUGGCUGAGAGCCAAGAUGCAUCCUUUGCUCUAUGGUCCUUUUCUCCUAUUUUCCUUCAUUCAACUUAAUAAAUUUUUACAGGAGA